GGCUCCAAUGGUCCUCAGUGGCUUCUCUUUGUUGAUCUUCGUUCUUCCACUGCCUUCUGUAUCCUAAUUUCUUUAUGACAUCAACAUAGGGUUCAAGCUUUCCUAAAGCACGCAAACAGAUCUAGGGCGUGAUUUGGUUUGGCGAUAUCUCCGCAACCUCUGGCGGUGCCUACAGUUGUGGAUAGCACAUGUUUAAAUUAGAAGCUAAAUCAAGUUAUCUAGGGUUUCUUUCUUCUUCUCUGUACUUGUAACCACCGCAAAAGGUUCUAAUAUCUGAUCAAAACCGGCCGAACAAGGGUUUUUGAAGCAACCAAAAGUCUUCAUCUGUUCGAAGAAGGGCGGCAAAGGAAAAAAAGUAUGGAAAGGGGGAAAUAGUUCUGGAAGAGUAUUAGUAUUGGUAUUGGAUUUAACCUGAGGGAGGCUAUUAAAGGUAUUGUUAUAAUAUAGUUUUUACAAUAUCAGUUGUUUGUUUUUAUUUGCCAUUUUGUUAUGCUGUUGAGUUGUUGAAUUGGUUGAAUGAAUUUAAGAUGUGUGUAAGAUGAAUAUGAAAAAUAAGAGAUGAAUUUGAAUAAAAUGGAUUGUUACUAUGAAAUGUGGAUUGAUUAUUUGUGAAAACCAGAAUACAUAUUGGAUGAGGAGAAGGUAUAUAUUGUAUCUGUUGUAUAUUUGUUGGUUUAAUGAUUGAUUUUUAGACUUAUUUGUUCUUAUUGAGUUAGUUGUUGCUGGUAUUGGAUUUUGGAAAUGCAUAUGCCACUCACUAUUGAUGUUACUACAUCAUUUUGAGGUUUUUAAAGUGCUAACAUCAUGUCAUCUUCCUCGUCUGUCUGUGAACAAAGAUGAGGAAAGAGUGUCAAAGUAGAACUAGAUGGAAAGCGGGUCCCGCCGCCUAAAACGUUUGAAGACUAUGCAAAUCUUUAUCUUCAACAAUAAACAUAUAGGUUGGUGUAUGAAACCUCUCACGCCUCCAACUUUAUCGGCAAUAUGGGCUCAAGAGUCAAGAUUAGUGUCUUGCUGGGUUGAGCUACAAAAUAAAAUUGGGCUUACAUAUGUGAUCUGGAGCUGAAUUUGAAGCCAAAAUCAGGAAGCUUGUUGAACUCAGGUUCAGCAGAGAUGCAGUUUUACAAGCUCGGAAGCUUUUUGAUGGUUGAUCCAAAAUUUGAUUUGGAUAUUAAUUAAGAUGAUGCGGAAGACGAGUGUUCCAACUAUAGACGGGCCAAGCAUAUAUAUGUUGAUAAGUAUGUGUUCUAGCCCUUUAUCUCAGUUUACUAGGAUGAACAUCUGUUAGAUGUGCAAAUUACCAUAACAUGGGGUCUACAAGUAACAUGAAUAAAACACUUGGGAAGAUUAUACAACAUCAGAACUGGUCACCAGUUAGAAGUUUACUCCCCACCACAACAGCGGUAAUGUGGCCACGAACCCAUGGAUGCAAAUUUGCAGCCGCUUUUAGGUCUAAAACAGUGAGUAUAUGGACUUGAAGAAAACAGUUUGGAAAUAGUUUCUAGUUUGUGUAAAGUCAUUUUUCUGUGUAACAUUUGUAGAUAGGUUUUGAUUAGAAGUUAAUGUUUUUAGUUAGUAUUAGUAUCUAAAUUGAAAACUUAUGUAUGGAUUUUGGGUUAUUAUUGUUAAUAGCAUUUGGUUUUUAGUUUUCUCA